UAGGUGGGAUUAGCUAGUUGGUGAGGUAAGGGCUCACCAAGGCGACGAUCCCUAGCUGGUCUGAGAGGAUGAUCAGCCACACUGGAACUGAGACACGGUCCAGACUCCUACGGGAGGCAGCAGUGGGGAAUAUUGCACAAUGGGCGCAAGCCUGAUGCAGCCAUGCCGCGUGUGUGAAGAAGGCCUUCGGGUUGUAAAGCACUUUCAGUCGUGAGGAAGGCGGUGUAGUUAAUAGCUGCAUCGUUUGACGUUAGCGACAGAAGAAGCACCGGCUAACUCCGUGCCAGCAGCCGCGGUAAUACGGAGGGUGCGAGCGUUAAUCGGAAUUACUGGGCGUAAAGCGCAUGCAGGUGGUUUGUUAAGUCAGAUGUGAAAGCCCGGGGCUCAACCUCGGAAUUGCAUUUGAAACUGGCAGACUAGAGUACUGUAGAGGGGGGUAGAAUUUCAGGUGUAGCGGUGAAAUGCGUAGAGAUCUGAAGGAAUACCGGUGGCGAAGGCGGCCCCCUGGACAGAUACUGACACUCAGAUGCGAAAGCGUGGGGAGCAAACAGGAUUAGAUACCCUGGUAGUCCACGCCGUAAACGAUGUCUACUUGGAGGUUGUGGCCUUGAGCCGUGGCUUUCGGAGCUAACGCGUUAAGUAGACCGCCUGGGGAGUACGGUCGCAAGAUUAAAACUCAAAUGAAUUGACGGGGGCCCGCACAAGCGGUGGAGCAUGUGGUUUAAUUCGAUGCAACGCGAAGAACCUUACCUACUCUUGACAUCCAGAGAACUUUCCAGAGAUGGAUUGGUGCCUUCGGGAACUCUGAGA
rnacentral:rRNA from 1 species